rnacentral:rRNA from 1 species
UACGUAGGGAGCAAGCGUUGUCCGGAAUCAUUGGGCGUAAAGCGCGCGUAGGUGGCCUCAUAAGUCCGCUGUGAAAGUCAAAGGCUCAACCUUUGAAAGCCGGUGGAUACUGUGGGGCUAGAGUACGGAAGAGGCGAGUGGAAUUCCUGGUGUAGCGAUGGAAUGCGCAGAUAUCAGGAGGAACACCAAUAGCGAAGGCAGCUCGCUGGGACGUUACUGACACUGAGGCGCGAAAGCGUGGGGAGCGAACAGG